GAUGAACGCUAGCGGCAGGCUUAACACAUGCAAGUCGAGGGGUAUAGUAGCAAUACUAGAGACCGGCGCACGGGUGCGUAACGCGUAUGCAAUCUACCUUUUACAGAGGGAUAGCCCAGAGAAAUUUGGAUUAAUACCUCAUAGCAUUGCGAAAUGGCAUCAUUUUGCAAUUAAAGUCACAACGGUAAAAGAUGAGCAUGCGUCCCAUUAGCUAGUUGGUAAGGUAACGGCUUACCAAGGCAACGAUGGGUAGGGGUCCUGAGAGGGAGAUCCCCCACACUGGUACUGAGACACGGACCAGACUCCUACGGGAGGCAGCAGUGAGGAAUAUUGGACAAUGGGCGAGAGCCUGAUCCAGCCAUGCCGCGUGCAGGAAGACGGCCCUAUGGGUUGUAAACUGCUUUUGUACGGGAAGAAACACCCCCUCGUGAGGGGGCUUGACGGUACCGUAAGAAUAAGGAUCGGCUAACUCCGUGCCAGCAGCCGCGGUAAUGUCGA
rnacentral:rRNA from 1 species